CCCGGUUCCGGUCCCGGUCCGCGUGGUUCCGGAUAAAGUCCCUGAAGUGGAGCAGCAGGUCGGAGUUCUUCGCGGAGCCUCCGCUGCUUCGCAGGUAGAGGAGCACCGCGUCCUGAGACAGAAACACACAAACCACAACAACAGAAGACAGAGGCUGGUUGGUCACUAACGAUAUUUCCCCGGCUGCAUGGCUGCUAAGAGGCGAGCAGCUGAUCUGCAGUAUGAAUAUGGAGGCGGAGCUCCAGCAGAGACUCAGAUCAACAGGAAGAGAUUCUAUCAGAGUAAAGAGGAGACUGGAGGAUUCUGGGUAAUGACCGGACGUGACUGGAACACCUCACCACGUUAUCACUGCCGAUGUUCACCCUCUUCAUUAUGUCUGUGGGAACUGGUGUCGUCCCGUUGUGGCUGGAUUUGAGCUCCUCCCUGGAUCAUGUGACCUGUGUUACCUGGCGGUGAACCUGAGGACCUUGGAGAUGAGACCAGUGGCCAGGCCGUUGACGUUGGCGUCCGAUGGCGUCCGACACAACGCCCCGUCCGAGCGGCCCAGCUCCGCUUUCUUCUGCUUCCUGCGGAGCUUCCUGCGGUAGAAGACCUCCAGCAGCUCCAUCGUUCGAUUCUAAAUAUUCUAGUUUCUUUCAACUCUGCUUUUCUAUUCGUCUCUUAGAAAGUGAAAGAGGCUUCUCCACAACUUUCUUCAACUUUCCUCGUCUUGUUUCCUUUUUUUGAGCUUUAACCUGAGCUUAAAAUAAAUCCAGACCCUCGUCCUGAAUCGAAUGAGUCUCUGUGUCUCCUUAGAAAAUGAUCCGCUCCUUUAUUUCCUACGACUCUCCUCUCCUGAUCCCGUCGCUUUGCUCCACUUCACGUUCUGG